rnacentral:lncRNA from 1 species
CAUUACAGUUGGUUAUUUAGAAAGAAGGAAGAUGGUUAUGGUUGAAUUUGCAUGGCAAGAAGACACCGUUACCUCUGUGCAAUACAGUUUUCAAGCUGCCAAGAGAGUAAGUGAGGUUUAGAGAGCUCAGCUAGUUUGCUGUGAGCUGGGAGCAGGCUUGCCUGGCCUGGCAGGAGUCAAGUUCAUAACACAACGCAUGUCUUCUUGGAGGAAAGCAGUGUUUCUCAAAUAGGCUUUUGAAUUCGUGUUCUGUUUUCACACCUUUUGUCAAGGAUUGAACCAAAGAUGCGUCUCCGGUUCUGUGUCCAUGCCGUCCAUGUGUGCGUGUUUUGUGGACCCCAGUAUUGUCUGACCGUGUUGAGCUGGAGCCUGCCGGGGGCUGUCUCCACGUGGGGCCUGGGCCCUGGCACUUGGCAGGGACCACUCGGCCGUGAGCAGAAUUGGGGAAGGAAGAAGAAUUAGCACAGGUUGGAUAGCAGUUAGCUCAGGAGACAAGUUACACCACAGCCUGGCGUCUUCAACUGUUGACAAGUGCAGGCAUGACCAGAAACCACUGCUGUGGCCACCCUAGGGCUCGUCCUCUCAGUCCCAGUGGUUCCAAAACAGGUCACUGCCCUUGAGGAUUGCAAAGCCUGCCUUCACGUCCAUUGGCAGCCAGCCUGUGCCAGAGAGUGAAGUGGUUCUUCAUCUUUUCUCAUUUCCCAGUGGUGAUUUCCUUCGGCCCCACACGUCUCCUACUCAGCGAGGAGAGAGCAGGGCUCCAGACUGGGUUCUGGAACUUUCCAUUGAAAAUAGAGCUUUUUAAGCAGAGAGAAGAAAAGAAGCUUUUCCACACGAGACUCUCUCCAUUUGAUGUGAAUUGUUUGAUUUUCGAUGGGUGAAGAAACCUUUUUGAUGGUUUCGAGCUGCAAGUGUCCCGCUUUGCAGGUUUGCGGGCUGUGUUCCUGUGCCUUGUGAACUGCCUCUAGUCCUUGAUGUCUUUUUCUUGUAUCUUACCUUCCUUGACAACGUGAGUGUUUCUGUGUCGCUGUUAGAUGGUCGGAACCUGUUUCCCGUUCCUCACUUGCUUCAAGAACAGCUGCAGACUGUCAUCCAGCUAACUGACCGUGUCGCCGUUGGUAACUUGAACUGUGACCUCAGGUUUAUUCCGAACCCAGUGAGAGGUGAGGGGGAGUGGGGAAGAGGGGUGAGCUGUAUUUUUGUGUGUGUGAGCACCUGACAAAUCUAUGAAAUCGAGUG